CCUGGUUGAUCCUGCCAGUGGUCAUAUGCUUGUCUCAAAGAUUAAGCCAUGCAUGUUUAAGCAUAAGCCGCACAAUGGUAAAGCCGCGAAUGGCUCAUUACAACAGCCGUCGUUUCUUGGAUCUCUAAUUUUACUUGGAUAACUGUGGUAAUUCUAGAGCUAAUACACGCACUAAAGCUCUGACCUUACGGGACGAGCGCAUUUAUUAGAACAAAACCAAUCGGGUUUCGGCCCGUGCGUUGGUGACUCUGAAUAACUCUGCCGAUCGCAUGGUCUCGCACCGGCGACGUAUCUUUCAAGUGUCUGCCUUAUCAACUUUCGAUGGUAGUUUAUGUGCCUACCAUGGUUGUAACGGGUAACGGAGAAUAAGGGUUCGACUCCGGAGAGGGAGCCUGAGAAACGGCUACCACAUCCAAGGAAGGCAGCAGGCGCGCAAAUUACCCACUCUCGGCACGAGGAGGUAGUGACGAAAAAUAACGAGAUGGAUCUCUUUGAGGCCCAUUAUCGGAAUGAGAACAAUUCAAAUCCUUUAACGAGGAUCUAGCGGAGGGCAAGUCUGGUGCCAGCAGCCGCGGUAAUUCCAGCUCCGCAGGUGUAUAUCUAUGCUGCUGCGGUUAAAAAGCUCGUAGUUGGAUCUGCGUGCUCGGAACUGGUUGGCUCACUGAGUUCAAAUUGGUCUCCGGCGCUUUAUUUGCUGGUUUUCCCUUGAUGCUCUUAACCGGGUGUCUCGGGUGGCUAGCGUGUUUACUUUGAAAAAAUUAGAGUGCUCAAUACAGGCGCAAAGCCUUGAAUAGUGGUGCAUGGAAUAAUAGAAUAGGACCUCGGCUCUAUUUUGUUGGUUUUCGGAACACGAGGUAAUGAUUAAGAGGGACAGACGGGGGCAUUCGUAUUGCGACGUUAGAGGUGAAAUUCUUGGAUCGUCGCAAGACGGACGACUGCGAAAGCAUUUGCCAAGAAUGUUUUCAUUAAUCAAGAACGAAAGUUAGAGGUUCGAAGGCGAUCAGAUACCGCCCUAGUUCUAACCGUAAACGAUGCCAACUAGCGAUUCGCAGGCGUUAAACAACGACCUUGCGGGCAGCUUCCCGGAAACGAAAGUGUUCCGGUUCCGGGGGAAGUAUGGUUGCAAAGCUGAAACUUAAAGGAAUUGACGGAAGGGCACCACCAGGAGUGGAGCCUGCGGCUUAAUUUGACCCAACACGGGAAAACUCACCCGGCCCGGACACCGUAAGGAUUGACAGAUUGAGAGCUCUUUCUUGAUUCGGUGGGUGGUGGUGCAUGGCCGUUCUUAGUUGGUGGAGCGA
rnacentral:rRNA from 1 species